UUUAAAAUAAGUCUUUUUUAUUUGAUAAAAAACAACUGAAAAAAAAUUGAAUAUAUAUAUAUAUAAUUGAUAAAUUACGUUUAUUGUUUGGCUACAUUUUUAAUUAAACACGUAAUUGUAAAGAUGAAAUAUUUCUCCUGAUUUUUAUAAAAUAUAUAUUUAACUAAAGUGUUUUUGGAAAAACGGUUGCAGUAAAAAAAUAAUUUUCAAAAAGAUUCUAAGUAUUGUAUGGGUUGUUAUAACAAACAUAACCUGUUGACCGAUUGAAAUCAUUUGAAAAAUGAAGAUUCAAAUAUCUUUUUUUGUUGCGUUUAUUUUACUUUCAUCUUUGAUGGCUGUACCUUUUGUGAAUAAAGAAAGCAGUCCUUUAUCUGGAGAAUCUGCAAAGAUUUUGUCCGGCAUUUUACUUUCAGAAAAUUACGCAAGCAAAAGAAAACGAAAAUCUUUAAACAUUAAAAAGGAGCCUAUUUUCGGAUUUGGAUGCCACACAAUCGAAUGUAAGAUGAAAGAGGAACUGCGAAUAAUACUAAUAGAAAAAGAAAAUAAAGAUAAAAGUAAUGAGAUUGACAUCCAAUUUGACAAACAAAGUAAAUUUUUUAAAACACGAGUAGUAUAGAGCGUGCAAAUAAUAAUAUAAAUAACACAAAACAUAUCAACAUGUACCGAAAUCAAUUGUGAAUCGUAUUCUUAAUUUUAUAUACUUUGAAAGUUUUAAACAUAAAAUAACUGACUAAUUUAAAAAAAGGCUUUAUUGUUUAGAAAUAUUUUUUUAAAUUUUUUUAUAAGAUAGCAAAAAAGUUUAAUAUUAAGAUAAUGAAAAGUUUUUUUGGAUGAAAGAGUCACACGGCAGAAAAAUCGAAUAUGAACUCCUGAUCAACUUUCCACGCUUAAAAAAAAUUAUUUUUGGAAGAUUUUGCAAUCAUAUGGACAUUUAAGAUAUUGAAAAAAAAUAUUCAAUUAUUUUUUGACGAAAUAAUUUCGAAAAUCCA